rnacentral:rRNA from 1 species
AGAGUUUGAUCCUGGCUCAGGAUGAACGCUGGCGGCGUGCUUAACACAUGCAAGUCGAACGAACCUUCGGGUUAGUGGCGGACGGGUGAGUAACGCGUGAGAAUCUGCCCUCAGGAGGGGGAUAACGGUUGGAAACGACCGCUAAUACCCCAUAUGCCGCGAGGUGAAAUGAAUUUCGCCUGAGGAUGAGCUCGCGUCUGAUUAGCUAGUUGGUGGGGUAAAGGCCUACCAAGGCAUCGAUCAGUAGCUGGUCUGAGAGGAUGAUCAGCCACACUGGGACUGAGACACGGCCCAGACUCCUACGGGAGGCAGCAGUGGGGAAUUUUCCGCAAUGGGCGAAAGCCUGACGGAGCAACGCCGCGUGAGGGAUGAAGGCCUCUGGGCUGUAAACCUCUUUUAUCAAGGAAGAAGAUCUGACGGUACUUGAUGAAUAAGCCACGGCUAAUUCCGUGCCAGCAGCCGCGGUAAUACGGGAGUGGCAAGCGUUAUCCGGAAUUAUUGGGCGUAAAGCGUCCGCAGGCGGCCCUUCAAGUCUGCUGUUAAAAAGUGGAGCUUAACUCCAUCAUGGCAGUGGAAACUGUUGGGCUUGAGUGUGGUAGGGGCAGAGGGAAUUCCCGGUGUAGCGGUGAAAUGCGUAGAUAUCGGGAAGAACACCAGUGGCGAAGGCGCUCUGCUGGGCCAUCACUGACGCUCAUGGACGAAAGCCAGGGGAGCGAAAGGGAUUAGAUACCCCUGUAGUCCUGGCCGUAAACGAUGAACACUAGGUGUCGGGGGAAUCGACCCCCUCGGUGUCGUAGCCAACGCGUUAAGUGUUCCGCCUGGGGAGUACGCACGCAAGUGUGAAACUCAAAGGAAUUGACGGGGGCCCGCACAAGCGGUGGAGUAUGUGGUUUAAUUCGAUGCAACGCGAAGAACCUUACCAGGGUUUGACAUCCUGCGAAUCUCUUGGAAACGAGGGAGUGCCUUCGGGAACGCAGUGACAGGUGGUGCAUGGCUGUCGUCAGCUCGUGUCGUGAGAUGUUGGGUUAAGUCCCGCAACGAGCGCAACCCACGUCUUUAGUUGCCAGCAUUUAGUUGGGCACUCUAGAGAGACCGCCGGUGAUAAACCGGAGGAAGGUGUGGAUGACGUCAAGUCAUCAUGCCCCUUACAUCCUGGGCUACACACGUACUACAAUGCUACGGACAAAGGGCAGCAAGUUCGCGAGGACAAGCAAAUCCCAUAAACCGUGGCUCAGUUCAGAUCGUAGGCUGCAACUCGCCUACGUGAAGGAGGAAUCGCUAGUAAUCGCAGGUCAGCAUACUGCGGUGAAUACGUUCCCGGGCCUUGUACACACCGCCCGUCACACCAUGGAAGUUGGCCACGCCCGAAGCCGUUACUCCAACCCUCGGGAGGAGGACGUCGAAGGUGGGGCUGAUGACUGGGGUGAAGUCGUAACAAGGUAUCCGUACCGGAAGGUGCGGAUGGAUCACCUCCUAA